rnacentral:rRNA from 1 species
UACGUAGGGUGCAAGCGUUGUCCGGAAUUAUUGGGCGUAAAGAGCUCGUAGGCGGCUUGUUGCGUCGACUGUGAAAACCCGCGGCUUAACUGCGGGCUUGCAGUUGAUACGGGCAGGCUAGAGUUCGGUAGGGGAGACUGGAAUUCCUGGUGUAGCGGUGAAAUGCGCAGAUAUCAGGAGGAACACCGGUGGCGAAGGCGGGUCUCUGGGCCGAUACUGACGCUGAGGAGCGAAAGCGUGGGGAGCGAACAGG